UACAGAGGGGGCAAGCGUUGUUCGGAAUUACUGGGCGUAAAGGGCGCGUAGGCGGCCUCUGCAAGUCGACUGUGAAAUCUCCGGGCUUAACCCGGAAAGGUCAGCCGAUACUGCAGGGCUAGAGUGCAGAAGGGGCAACUGGAAUUCUCGGUGUAGCGGUGAAAUGCGUAGAUAUCGAGAGGAACACCUGCGGCGAAGGCGGGUUGCUGGGCUGACACUGACGCUGACAGCGCGAAAGCUAGGGGAGCGAACGGG
rnacentral:rRNA from 1 species